rnacentral:rRNA from 1 species
ACGAAGGUUCGAUUCUGGCUCAGGAUGAACGCUAGCUACAGGCUUAACACAUGCAAGUCGAGGGGCAGCAUAUCGAAAGCUUGCUUUGAUGAUGGCGACCGGCGCACGGGUGAGUAACGCGUAUCCAACCUUCCCUAUACUAGAGGAUAGCCCGGCGAAAGUCGGAUUAAUACUCUAUGUUCUUCGUAGAAGACAUCUGAAAUGAAGCAAAGGUUUACCGGUAUAGGAUGGGGAUGCGUCUGAUUAGGUUGUUGGCGGGGUAACGGCCCACCAAGCCCACGAUCAGUAGGGUUCUGAGAGGAAGGUCCCCCACAUUGGAACUGAGACACGGUCCAAACUCCUACGGGAGGCAGCAGUGAGGAAUAUUGGUCAAUGGACGAGAGUCUGAACCAGCCAAGUAGCCGUGCAGGAUGACGGCCCUAUGGGUUGUAAACUGCUUUUAUACAGGGAUAAAGUGACGUACGUGUACGUUUUUGUAGGUACUGUAUGAAUAAGGACCGGCUAAUUCCGUGCCAGCCGCCGC